GGCGAGAUGGCUCAGUGGUUAAGAGCACUGACUGCUCUUCCAGAGGUCCUGAGUUCAAUUCCCAGCACCCACA
rnacentral:tRNA from 1 species